rnacentral:rRNA from 1 species
GACGAACGCUGGCGGCGUGCUUAACACAUGCAAGUCGAACGGAAAGGCCCUGCUUUUGUGGGGUGCUCGAGUGGCGAACGGGUGAGUAACACGUGAGUAACCUGCCCUUGACUUUGGGAUAACUUCAGGAAACUGGGGCUAAUACCGGAUAGGAGCUCCUGCUGCAUGGUGGGGGUUGGAAAGUUUCGGCGGUUGGGGAUGGACUCGCGGCUGAUCAGCUUGUUGGUGGGGUAGUGGCUUACCAAGGCUUUGACGGGUAGCCGGCCUGAGAGGGGGACCGGCAACAUUGGGACUGAGAUACGGCCCAGACUCCUACGGUAGGCAGCAGUGGGGAAUAUUGCACAAUGGGCGGAAGCCGGAUGCAGCAACGCCGCGUGCGGGAUGACGGCCUUCGGGUAGUGAACCGCUUUCGCCUGUGACGAAGCGUGGGUGACGGUAAUGGGUAAAGAAGCACCGGCUAACUACGUG